rnacentral:tRNA from 1 species
GCUCCGAUCGUCUAGUCCGGCCAAGGAUAUGGGCCUUUCAAGCCUAAGACUCGGGUUCAAAUCCCGAUCGGAGCA